GGGUUCGCCCAUUGGUCAGGCUUAAUUGUUUGUACUGGUGAGAUGAAUCUCUACCUUCUGAGGAACUUUCAUGCCAUUUAUUUGGUGUGAUUGGAAAUCAGGACUGUUACUUUGAAAAAAUUAGAGUGUUUAAAGCAGGCAAGCGCUUGAAUACAUUAGCAUGGAAUAAUGAAAUAGGAC
rnacentral:rRNA from 1 species